AGGACAGGUGGGCCCACAGGGGGAGCCCUUUAAGAAGUCCAGAGACUCCCAGGAGGCUGCGGGAAACUUCAGACAUGCUCCCCCACCCCCCUCGCUGCCCCACAUUCCACCAGUGUUCUAAAGGGCGAGAAGUAACAGCUGGACCCAGAGAGAUGGCUGAAUGCCAGGUCCCCACCAAGAAGGGGUCUAGGGGUCGGGACUCCUGGGUCUGGGACCCAGAUUCUUGGGUCCCCAAGAAAGGAGAAAGAUGAGGGCCUGGACUCAUGGGUCCCAAGAGGAGGGAGAGGAAGGGGUGAGGGCUGCCAGCCCGAAGUCUGGCAUGGGGAGGUAGGGGGUUAGGGGUAAGACAGGGUCUAGAAAGCCAUUCUUAGUAUCUGCAAGUCAGGAGUUUUCCGGAAACCAGAGCCGGGAGGGGGGGUCCGGUUUCCCAGUGUAGGCAGGACGGCUGCCGGGGGGAGGAGGUCUCCGAGCCCGCAAGGAGGGCCCUGAGGCCUGGAGACUCCUGAGUGUCCCGCACACCUGAAGCCCUGGGGCCCCGGCCACCUGGGACCUCGGAUUGGCCACCGCCCCUCCUGGGACCGCGCCCCGCCAGCGCCCCGCGAGUGUUCCCGGAGCGGGCGCGGCGGGCACCGGACGCGGGGGAGGAGGCCGGUGCCCCCAGCGGGGCGGGUGGGGAGGCCGGGAAGGCCCUGGAGGGCUGCCCGGACGUUGGCGCCCUUCCCGGCAGGGGGACCUGUGGCUUUCUGAAUGGGGGUGGUAGCGGCUGGACGCCGGCUGGGAGGGGAGCUGAAGGAGAGCCGGAAACUUCCCCGCCUCCAGGAGCUCCAAGCCAACCCGGCGGCAGCCUCCCGUGACGUCACGAGUUGCCGGGCAGACUGCUGCGCCGCUCCUGCGGGCAGGGCGAGACGCUGCCCCUCGGGGCCUCGCGCCGCGCGUGCUCCAGGCUGUACCCAGAGAAAUGGGGACGGACAUACAGAGAGAAGACAGAGACCCACCCCGGAAAGGGAACCAGGGAGAGGGAGAGGAGGAACACCAUCGUCGAGAGAGGGAGACAAAAAUGGAAUGGAACCAGCGUGGCCCCUCGCAAGUCCCUCCCCCGGCCCCCAGGGCUCGGCCUGGGCUGGCUCUGCCUGCCUCUCGCCCCUCCUCUUACCCUCUCUGAAGGCCAGCGGUGUUUUUGUCCCUGACCAAGGAUCUAGAAGGGACACACUGAGGCUCAGAAGCAGCAAGUCUUUCGCUCCGGAUCCCUCAGCCAGCCAGUCUGAAGGGCCCGGGACCCUGGCCUCCUAGCCCACAGCCUCUAACACCCCCAGUGGGGUCCAGUCAGAGCUCCCACAGUGC